rnacentral:rRNA from 1 species
GCCAGUCGCGGCGGUAAUACGGAGGGGGUUAGCGUUGUUCGGAAUUACUGGGCGUAAAGCGCGCGUAGGCGGGCUAGUAAGUUAGAGGUGAAAUCCCGGGGCUCAACCCCGGAACUGCCUUUAAUACUGCUAGUCUUGAGUUCGAGAGAGGUGAGUGGAAUUCCAAGUGUAGAGGUGAAAUUCGUAGAUAUUUAGAGGAACACCAGUGGCGAAGGCGGCUCACUGGCUCGAUACUGACGCUGAGGUACGAAAGUGUGGGGAGCAAACAGGAUUAGAUACCCUGGUAGUCCACGCCGUAAACGCUGGGUACUAGGUGUCGGGAGGCUUGGCCCUCUCGGUGUCGACCCUAACGGAUUAAGUACCCCGCCUGGGGAGUACGGCCGCAAGGCUGAAACUCAAAGGAAUUGACGGGGGCCCGCACAAGCGGUGGAGCAUGUGGUUUAAUUCGAUGAUACGCGAGGAACCUUACCAGGGCUUAAAUGUAAGUUGCAUUAGUUAGAGAUAGCUAUUUCUUCGGACCACUUACAAGGUGCUGCAUGGUU